rnacentral:lncRNA from 1 species
GAUACCUUUCAAUAAACAACAUCACAAUCAGAAUCAGUGCUACAAAAAAAUGGCGGCGGUCAUAAGUAACGUAACGAAGACUUAUUGUUCCACAUCAGUAGUUGUAAAUGUGAAUCAUAGAUGGCGAUGAAACUUGUCUUUUAGUCUGCUAAAAAAGAGUCAAAUAAAAUGUCUGCAAUUGUCAACCUAUGUGUUUUCCGUAAUUUUCAGCAGUUUGUGUCAAUUAGACCCAUUUCUAAUUAUCCCACAUCAUUUCGCAAAAAAAAAGAAAUUCAGAAGGUGGAUGGAGAUGACGAAUUCCGUUCGCUGGAUCUGAGUCCCAACAAGUCGUUGAAUAUGAGAUCAUACGGACGCAAAGUGUACAAGAGAGUAGCAGUUCAUCCUCCACAUUCCAACAAAAUGCCAACUGAUGAAGACUGGCCCUCAGUUUCGCCAAUUGCCAGAUCUUUCCAUCCAGCUAGUUUUCCCCUGCCCUUGCAUCAGGACUAUGUUGCUCCGGGGGCAACACCACCAGGUAAAUUUGCCAAUGCAGAGAUGAUGAAGAUCCCCAACUUCAAGUUAGGUUAUGGCCGUCAAGCAGCCUACCGUCAACUAUUUUGUUCAAAAUCAUUGUAUUCUACUGAAUGUGCAAUCGAAAUGAUACAGGAGUCAUAAUUAUCUGCUGUUUGUAUUGGACUUGCUAGAUCACCAAUCCCAGCAUAGACCAAUCUCUCAUUUCAUCUUCUUGAGAGAAGAAUGGAUUAGUGAUUGGUGGUUUCAUUUAUCAUAGAUGUCAAGCACUUUGAUGACACAAAUUAUAAACAAGGAUUCAUCAUUAUAUGUGCUUUGUAUUGCUGGACUUGCUAGAUCACCAACCACAGCAUGAACCAAUCAAUCAUUCACUUCUUUAGAGAACCUUGGAUAGCUGUUCGGUGGUUUUAUUUACAUCAAGCACAUUGAUGACACCAAUGAUAAACAGGUUUAUCGUGUAUGUUCGCGUAGUUGCUGUCCGCUGUGGUACUUUGUUGCAGCCUAUGCUGGUGAUAGAUCUUUCUGCAUCAAAUUCAAUUGGCCGUGCUGUUGUCGUGUAACCGUUAAAUGUUAAGAAGGAAAAAAAAAUAUGGGGAUAGUUAUGUCUAGCAAGUAAUAAACAUGUUUUCGGGAUUGGGAAAGGAAAGUGGAAGAUGUUGGAGAGGGGGAUGUUUCAAGUUUGGAUAAAAACAGUUAAUUUUAAGUUUUAACCCUACAAACAUAUCCCUACCAACUAAUCUCCAAACCCCACAAACUUAUACCUUCCAACUCUUCACACACAAACACACCUACCAACCCUAAAUUUAUAUCAUAUCCAAAUUAACCAAUGUUAAACCCUAACAAUGUGAUGUCUGUAAUAAAUAAAACUUUGUAUACAUAAAACUGAUUUUUAUUA